GAAUGGCUUCUGACUUGGCCGAAUUCUGUAAGUACCUCGAGUAUCACCUCCACUUUGAAAUCGUACUGGAUUCCUCCAGGUCAUGGUGCCACUCAUUCUCAGAAAAUAAGCUACCACUCCAGAACAUAUUCUUCUCUGGCCCGACCACAACUCACAUCCUGGAUGAGCCCCAGACAGAUUCACCGCCGGCCCCCUCCUGCCCCCAUAACUUGUCACCUCCUUCUCUAUCUGACCAAGUGUCAACCCCCUUCCUACACAGCCUCCCCCAAGACCACAGCUACAACCCUCCCACAUCCUACAAACCACUUAAGAGGCCCAGCCUAACAGAGACUGGGAGCCAACAUCUCUCUUGAUGUCUGGCCUCUCUCCUUCCUUCGAGAGUGAAUAAACUCUGUCACGCUUGUUAGUCUA